CUACGUAGGGGGCGAGCGUUGUCCGGAAUGAUUGGGCGUAAAGGGCGCGUAGGCGGCCUGUUAAGUCUGGAGUGAAAGUCCUGUUUUCAAGAUGGGAAUUGCUUUGGAUACUGAUGGGCUUGAGUGCAGGAGAGGUUAUCGGAAUUCCCGGUGUAGCGGUGAAAUGCGUAGAGAUCGGGAGGAACACCAGUGGCGAAGACGGGUAACUGGACUGCAACUGACGCUGAGGCGCGAAAGUGUGGGGAGCAAACAGGAUUAGAUACCCUGGUAGUCCACACUGUAAACGAUGAAUGCUAGGUGUAAGAGGUAUCGACCCCUUUUGUGCCGGAGUUAACACAAUAAGCAUUCCGCCUGGGGAGUACGGCCGCAAGGUUGAAACUCAAAUGAAUUGGCGGGG
rnacentral:rRNA from 1 species